rnacentral:lncRNA from 1 species
GCUUAGGUUUAAGAUCAUUGGGAUUAUGACAAUUAAACUAUCAGAAGCUAGGUUUAAGAUCACUUAGGAUUGCGAUAUGAAUGAUGCAAGAACUUAAGGUUUAAGACUACUAAGGACUGUGGCACAAGUGGUUUUAAGUUGGAAGUUUAAGAUCAUUGAGGAUUGUAACAAAAUUGGAAUCAGAACAAAGGUUUAAGAGCAAUAGGGAAUGUGACAGGAAUGUAUGAGAGCUUAAAGUUUAAUCACUAGUGAUUGUGAUAGAAAUGUAGCAAAUUUUUAAGUUAUGAUUAAAUUAGAUUUUGACUAAUAUUAAGUGGAGUACUAGCCAUGGAAUAUUAAAGUACAUUGUGAUUGUUUGUGUAUUAGCAUAUAAGUGAUUUUGGAAGAUCAACUUGAUAUCGAGUACUGUGAAUAAUACUUCUAGAUUGAAGUUAAUUAUUUUGAUGGCAAGAUAGGGUUCAUUCAUAAGUUGUUUAAGGCUUGGACAAGAAAAGAUUUUAUAUUCUUC